rnacentral:lncRNA from 1 species
GAUGCCGGCUAGCUCUGUUUUAAAAUUAUUUACACCAAAAAGAUACACAUUUUUAAAACCUUUAAAAUUAAAUACUAGAGGAAUUCCUUCUAGCAGAUGUUUCCUGCUCCUCAUUAGUGCUUAAUUUUCUAAUUUCCCUGAUGUUUUUGCUUUUUCUAUUGACAUUUUUUUUUCAAUCCGUUGAGGAAUUUGAUCAUUUUAAAGCUGAGAAACUUCCUCCUGACCAGCCGAGUUGAAACCCGGGGAGCACAGGCGGGAUAUUCCCACCCCACAGGCUCAGAAAACGAGCUCUGUGCGGUGCAGAGAGUAAAAGGACUGCCUUUGUGGGGAGCCCACUUUGGCCUGGAGCUGACAACAUCUUGAGAGCAAAUCGGUUCCAAGGGCUCCUUUUUAUAAAAUGGGGAAACACAGCGGCACUCCUUCUUCCUUCCCAAAGACGGAUGUGUUUCAUCCCUGCCUAUCUGGAGCUGCUGUUCUAGUAUGGCACAGGCAGAUCGCCCAUCUCUGAAGAGCAAGAUGGGCGUGUACCCGGUUUCACUUUCACUGCAGACAGGAGAGUCUGUACACAAAGAAAUCUGAUGCUGUCAGGCCCAAGCAUUGGCCAGGAAAGGACUCAGUACAGACAGGACCACUCAGAGAAACAGAUUUUUUUUCCCUAGCUGGUUUUAGGUCAACGACAAUAAAACGUGAAUUCUGGAGAUUCAAAACCUCAAAUCUUCAACUUUUCACCUCGCACUUUUAUUCCUGGGACAAAAACUUGCUCAGCACAUCUCUUCCUAAAUUCCAAGACAGGCUGCUUGUUCUGUUCAGUCAAGAAUGCCAACCCAAGAAACAUUUUUGAAAGAUCACAGUCAACGUCAUUGCCAAAAGAAGAAGCUCUUGGCACACAAAGAACCUGGUUCAAUAUGAGAUGCCAGAUGGUGAUUUCAACUUCAGCUAAAUUCCUGCUGAGAAGUAUUUGAACUGCAGAUGAGAAAAUCUUCUGUGACAAAUUUCCAAGUGUUAGAAGCUUCAGAGGAAAAUGGCAAGUGUUGAUACCCUCUCUCCCCGCAACCACCACCACCAACCACAUGCACACAUACCAUGGAACAUACCUGCAUCUGGUAGCUAAGAUUCCAACAGAUGCCUCUGCCUUUUAAAAAGCCUAUGGACCCUGAUUUGAUUUUUACUAAAAGUAUAUUAACUGAGUCCAUUGGAAGCAAAUACCAUUUGAUUAAUAUGCAGUGCUUUUUCAAAGGGUGCGUUCCCUUAGCAUCGGAGAUAACUCUUUCCUGUCUUCCAAUAAUUCUGUUGUUAAUUGAUAAUUAAUUGAUAGUCAACUGAUACUCAGUGUAUCUCCCCUCCCUAGAUACUUUCAAAUUCCAGGAGAUACAUGUGAGGCAUAAAUUGAUGGUGCUCUGCCUGGAUGACCUUGAAUCUCUUUUGCUGGUUCUGUGUGCCCACACCCCAGCUUCAGUGUAUUUUGCUUUCUAAUGAUUAGCUUCUGCAACUAUCUUCAGAGGGUUGCCCUUGAACUACUGAAUUUCACCUGUUUGCACAGAGAACUGAAAGUGCCUGGGAGCUUACUGUGGCCCUGAGAUGCCCACAGCCAAUGAGUCACUGGUACAGGAAAUUGAAAGCCCAGCUCCCCCGAAUCAAGUCUGGGAAAAUUCUGAGGUGUAAUAUAUGCUCCAGAGCUCCAGUCAGCAAUAGGCUGAGACUGGGACUCUGCCUGAAUAACACUUGCACUUGGCUUUUUCCCUCCUUCUUUCCCUGUGUUGCUCCUGCCUCCCCACAUACCCCCUUGGAGGUCUCUCCUGUAACACAUCUUUCAUAUAACUCAUGUACAAAUUCUCGUCUUGGGAUCUGCUUCUGGGAAACUGACCUGUGAUGAUUCUGGGCAAUGGAAAAGUUCGAGUAUCCUGCUAAUAAAGAAAACAGAAAUUCUUUCUAGAACAAGGAACAUAUGCGUGCCUACUUUAUCAAUCAAAGUCUCAGAAGGAAAUAGUGGAUAAAGUCAAAGUAGGUAUUUGGAGAAAGAGUAGUAAUAAAGGGACUAUUUCCAAAGGUGUGGACUGGGUUCAGAGAGACAAGGAUAAGUGCCCACCUGGAAGCUAGGACCAGGAUGUGCCAUUGCCAACUCUAGGCCUCACUGGUAAAAGGAGAGUGUGGCUUUGCAAGCUGGUGACAGAAAUGUGUGGAGAGGCUGUGAGACAGGAGCUGUGACUUUACAGGUUGCAGCCAGCCUGCAGAGACCCUGCAAGGAGUUAGCACCAACCUUAUGCUCCAUCUUGCCUCCAAUCUUGUCAGCGCUACCCCAUCAGCUGAACAUAAUGGGAACUAGGGCUUGAGGGAGCCUGUUAAUGUAGUACAUCUAGGGUUAGCCUCUUGGGGCACACAGCAGGUGGAGAAGAGUAGGGAGAGGAUCUGAAGGGACAAACAGAAGCUUUCCAGCAGCACACUUGCCUACCUAUCUUACACACACACAGUUUGGCUGGUUCUUGAUCUUGACCUGUGACCAGAUACACCUAAAUAAACACUACUUUUCUCUCUGCUGACCUUGUCUCCUUCUAUAUUAUUUGUUUGCACAUUGAGGGACCCAGAGAUAGGCUGCAUGAUGUGUGAGAAGGGGACAUCAAAAAUCAAGUGACAAAAUACAUUUUUAUUUAAGUCUGAGUAUGGCAUUUGGGUAUCAGGAUAGCCCCAGCACUUCAGCCUCUAAGACAUUUUAUGUAGAGUGAAACAUGACUCACAGAGCCCACUGCCAUAAGAUUUAUCAUCACUUUGACUUUAUAUUUUAGUACAAAGAGGUCUAAACUACGUCUUUAGAGAAUUAUACCCAUUCUCUCACAGUUGACAACAAAUGCAAAUCAAAGAUCUUUAUGUUGCUUUUUGUAAUGCCCUAUCUAAUCGUUUUCUCAUCAGUCCAGGUGCAAAGAUGUCCUCAUUAUUCAGUUUACUCCCAAAUGUUCUCAUUAUUGAAAGCAAUGCUCUCUUCCUAGUGGGCUCAUUUUCUGUUUUUGAAAUGGUCACUUUUCUUGGAUUUUGGCUUUGGCUUGAUUCAGAAUAUAAAGCACUACAAAGUGUGUAGAGUGGAAAAAAAAGGUCACUCA